rnacentral:tRNA from 1 species
GCGCGGACUCAGUCGGUAGAGCAGGGGAUUGAAAAUCCCCGUGUCCUUGGUUCGAUUCCGAGUCCGGGCACCA